rnacentral:lncRNA from 1 species
GGAACAUAUAUGUAGAAAAUGAGAACUGCAGCCUCUGUUAUGCAGAUGUACCUGAAACUGUCGAGCAUCUUUUUGUUGAGCAUCAAUGGGUGUCUGAGGUGGGGAAUACACUGGCGUCUUGGGCUGGGAUUGUGUUUCGAAAACAAGCUGCCAGGCAAAGUCUACAAUAGAUAAAGGGUCGAAGGUGGAAGCAACUCAAGAAGGAGAUAGCGGCUGCAAUUUGUGGAGCUUUAACGUAUUACACUUGGCAGGCAAGGAACUGAAAACUUUUCAGGCAAAUAAAUGUAAAUAGGGAGUUUAUAAUUACACAAAUUCAGAAAGAGUUGAAGGAGAGAGUACAGAUGACUUACCAAUUCAAAGAAAGCUAGGAAAUGUCAGAGUUUACUUCAAAAAUUUCGCAUUAAAGCUGUAGAGGAACAGUGAGAUUUGUGUUUUGUUCUUGUGGUCUGGAUGCUCA